GCAGGAGCCUGAGUCUUGCAGGGGAUAUCAGAGAAGAUCCAGCGGUGAGCAGAUGGGACUGAGCAUGCAGCUCUUUGAGUUCCAGAGCUCUACAGAUAUCCAGAUGGAAGACCAGGGAGUGCAGCAAUCAGUAUGUAAUUGGAUGUAUCCUGUAAACACUAAGAAACUUAUCCCUCCUGCCACCAGAGAUGAUCUUUCUAAAGCAGACUGUAACCUCUAGUUUUGUCUCACACACAGCACCCAGCGCUGAAUACCGAAUGUGAAGUUUGAUCCCAAAGUGCUGAUAAAAUGCAGCUGAUUUCUCAGCUUAGGCUGACAAGAUUUGUUCAUGCUUAAAAAAAUAACAUCUCAAGUGACAAACCCUCAAGAUUUCAAAGGAAGCCUAAGAGAGUUUUGUUCAAUCAGAAGGUAACAAAGAUGCUCUUCCUGACACAUUGCUGCAGUCUCAACGGAAUAAGAAAGACACCGAGGAGGGGCAAACACUACUGAUCAGGUUAACAGGAAAACUUUCUUUGCGAGCACUAAUUGGAAUGCAAAUCUUUGUACCAUAAAAAACCUGAGCUAUGAAUAGAGCACUGGAAUUUAAUUGAUUAAAUGUGUCAGCUUCUAAAAAAGCAGGAGAUACAUGCCCUGAUAUACCUGACUCUCAACAUUUUUAUUAAUAGGUAUAUCGUGGUGCUUCAGCUUGCUUAGAGAUGCAGGUAUAAUACACUGUAUAUUUUUACACUUUAGUAGAUGUUCUGCUGAAAGCACACAAGAAAGAAACUUGGUACAUAGGGUAAGCUGGAAUGUGCUUGGCAAUGGGGUGCUGGCACUGCUAUCAUCAGCUGAACUGUUCCAGCAGCAGACAUGUACAAAAGCAAGAGGUGGGGCUGGCAGUGACUGAGUGUCUUUGAAGUAUAGAAGUUUGCCAUUGUUCUAUGAAAGAAAUGACAAUAAAAUGUAUUAUACGUAAGCUUGUGAAAUACCAGGAAAUCACAGAGAAGCAAAAAGCAAUGAAAAAGCACUACCUUAGGCUAAUUGUUGUCUUAAUUUCAUUGCCAAAUAAACCUUAGCACUAAUAUGAUGAUAUUUUUCCAAAUUGUCUGCUGUAAGAAGCUAACAAAUCUACGAAUCUUCUACUGAGUAAUGCACUCACCUUUGGAUAGGUAUGACAGAAUGCAUGGGUGAAUAUGUGUGAGAAGGCUGGCCCAUCUGCACAGUGCUUAUCAGUAUGCAACAUGACAAUUUCCUCCACAGCUGCUUUCUUGUUAUAACUCAGUUGCAAAAAUCAUAUAUCCAGUAAGUCACUCUACAGAUGUUCACUUCCAACCUAUGAAUGCUCUCUAUUAUUUCCACAAAGUGAAUUACAUUUUUCUCAAAUCCUGGACCAAAAUUUAUCAAAGCACAAAACAGAACUUUUCAAAAUUACUGUAAUUAAUGGAAAGCCUGUGAAAUACUUACCUAGCCAAGGGCAAGUAUAAAAUCCUCCAAUGAAGUGUCAUAAAAAAUUAUGGCAUAAAUUAAAGCUGAACUAGUAUGCAUUUGUUAAUCUUCCCUGCAAUUCCCAACUAAAAAAGAAAUUAAAAUAAAAACUUCAGGAUCCUGUAAUUCAAAAUAACAAAAUUCAGGUAUACAACAUGAUGCAUGGCAUCAUGCUGUUUCAUUAAACUGACUACUAUAUGACUUGUGUUUUAUUAUGGGAAUAAUAUUUAAUAGAUUAUGCUUGCAUUUUGUGUUGCAUACCUGGUCUCACAUUAUAGCUCAGAGAUUUAUACUUUAAAAAAGAGAACAUGAAAAGAGGAAAUAAAACAGGUAAAUCAA